GACGAACGCUGGCGGCGUGCCUAAUACAUGCAAGUAGAACGCUGAAGGAGGAGCUUGCUUCUCUGGAUGAGUUGCGAACGGGUGAGUAACGCGUAGGUAACCUGCCUGGUAGCGGGGGAUAACUAUUGGAAACGAUAGCUAAUACCGCAUAAUAGUAGAUGUUGCAUGACAUUUGCUUAAAAGGUGCAAUUGCAUCACUACCAGAUGGACCUGCGUUGUAUUAGCUAGUUGGUGAGGUAACGGCUCACCAAGGCAACGAUACAUAGCCGACCUGAGAGGGUGAUCGGCCACACUGGGACUGAGACACGGCCCAGACUCCUACGAGAGGCAGCAGUAGGGAAUCUUCGGCAAUGGACGGAAGUCUGACCGAGCAACGCCGCGUGAGUGAAGAAGGUUUUCGGAUCGUAAAGCUCUGUUGUAAGAGAAGAACGAGUGUGAGAGUGGAAAGUUCACACUGUGACGGUAUCUUACCAGAAAGGGACGGCUAACUACGUG
rnacentral:rRNA from 1 species